rnacentral:lncRNA from 1 species
GCUGGUAGUGUCUGAAGAAGGUUUUUCAAAGCUAGGAAAUUAGAUGAAUAAAACUAUGGGAUAUGACAAGCAUCCCAUGAUAAGCAUACGCACUACAUCAUUGUCAAUGUGAAUAUCAAAGUGAAGUGCAUAAGAAUGACAUCCUCUCUGAUGCCUAUUUGCAACUCCAUUACUCAAUCUUUAGUCAUCCUUGGCAAUUGGCACCCUUAAACAAUAGACAUCCAAAGCAUUACAAGUCAUUUGUUUCAUUACUUAAAAAAAUUAAAUAUAUCUAAACCAUAAUUAAUUAAGCUUGAUUAGCCUGGAUCGGAAUUAGGCUGCAAUUUGUCAAACAACCUAAAAAUGGUCACAUUCAAUUAAUCAUACUUAAAUGAUGUAUUAGAAUAAUUAAAUACUAGGGAUUCAUCACUAUAGCUGACUUUGACCAUGAUUUUUUAGGGUUAGAUUUUUUUAUUUUACCUCUCUCUACCUG